AGGAUGAACGCUAGCGACAGGCUUAACACAUGCAAGUCGAGGGGCAGCAUGAUUUGUAGCAAUACAGAUUGAUGGCGACCGGCGCACGGGUGAGUAACGCGUAUGCAACUUACCUAUCAGAGGGGGAUAGCCCGGCGAAAGUCGGAUUAAUACCCCAUAAAACAGGGGUCCCGCAUGGGAAUAUUUGUUAAAGAUUCAUCGCUGAUAGAUAGGCAUGCGUUCCAUUAGGCAGUUGGCGGGGUAACGGCCCACCAAACCGACGAUGGAUAGGGGUUCUGAGAGGAAGGUCCCCCACAUUGGUACUGAGACACGGACCAAACUCCUACGGGAGGCAGCAGUGAGGAAUAUUGGUCAAUGGCCGAGAGGCUGAACCAGCCAAGUCGCGUGAAGGAAGAAGGAUCUAUGGUUUGUAAACUUCUUUUAUAGGGGAAUAAAGUGGAGGACGUGUCCUUUUUUUGUAUGUACCCUAUGAAUAAGCAUCGGCUAACUCCGUGCCAGCAGCCGCGGUAAUACGGAGGAUGCGAGCGUUAUCCG
rnacentral:rRNA from 1 species